AGAGAUAUAAAGUGGAUCCAAUGAAAAGACUGAUGGUUAGUGACGGAGGGACAAGAUUCUCAACAACCACAAACAAGGACGGCGGUUCGAGCCAGAGCCAACGCAUUUAUCACUUCCUUAACACCUCCACGUUCACCGAAUACACGGUCUUGGACUCAGCUUGCGUUGUCAAAAUCGAUCCUAAUGCUCCUCUCAAGCAAAUGAGCCUCUUGAGCUGUGGUGUCUCCACGGGUUAGUUAUUAGAUCUAUUUAUAUAGCAAUUUGUAUUAUGGAUUUAUUGAAAAAACAGAAUCAUUAAUUUGGGUCCAUAGAUUAAUUCUUUAACAAUACGAAAUUUUUUGUUUUCUUGUUGGGAUUUUUGAAUAAUAUAGAUUAGGAUGUUAUUAUUAUCUCCUUUUUUGGAGCAAAUAUAGUGAGAUUUGGGAGUAGCUAAGGAACAAAGGAGGAGAUAGGACCUUGGUUUCUGAAACACCAUUUAUUUCUCUUAUACCAAACGCAGUUAAUUCACCUUGAUGAUACCAAUCAAUGGUUGUAGAAAUCUACAGCUGUAGAAAGUGAUACAUAUUCAAAUUUUUAAAUCAAUAGUCACAUGAAGUGUAUAUGUGUAUCCCUAUUAAAAGUUAUGUUUUCGUUCCGAGAAAAAAAAAAGGUGUGGGAGCAGCUUGGAACACUGCCAAAGUGAAAGAAGGUACAACCACGGCUGUCUUUGGAUUAGGUUCGGUUGGACUCGCUGUAAGAUUAUUACUCCCUCUGUUUUUUUAUAUUUGCAUAUAGAUUGAGAAAUAUUUAAUUUUCUAAAUAAAAAUAUCAUUAAUUGUUUAUCUAACCACAAUUUAACCAAUAAUAAAGUAGAAACUAUAAUAUCAUUGGUCAUCUAGCAUUAAUUAAUAAUAAAUUUUACAUAGAAAAUUGAAAACGUCAAAAUAAUUUGAAACAAAAAAAUUUCCCUAAAACGUCAUAUAUAAAAAAAACGGAGGGAGUAGUAUUUUUUUCCAUACACCCCUCAUUAUAAGUUAAGUUUUAAUUUAUGUAGUACUCCAUAACUCAUAAUAAUAUAUCUAUACAUAUUUUAUGAAUGGGAACUGAAGGUUGCUGAAGGUGCACGAGCAAGAGGAGCUUCUAGGAUCAUUGGUGUUGAUGCCAAUGCUUCCAAAUUUGAGAAAGGUAUUACUUUCUCUUCGAUUUUUUUUAAUAUGAUUUGUCUUCGGCUUACUAAGUGAAGCGGAUGGUUAACAGCCACUGCAAUAAGAUUUCCAUAUAUUCGCAAUCUGAAGUUCUCAACAUGCUUAAAAUACUCCAAACCAUUAUUGCAGGUAAAUUGAUGGGAGUAACAGAUUUCAUAAACCCUAAAGACUUAACAAAGCCAGUACAUGAGGUACUGUCAACUUUAUAACACAACAAAUCAUCAAUAAUUAUUAAAUCAACUUAGUAUUAAUUGACUUUAACAAAUGAUUCAUCAAUAUAAAAAAAAAAAAUAGAGGAUACGAGAGCUGACCAGAGGAGGCGUGGACUAUAGUUUUGAAUGCACAGGAAACGUCGAUGUUCUUCGCGAAGCCUUUUUAUCCACUCACGCCGUAAGUCCUGACUCUGACUAAUGUGAUCAACGAGUUGUUAAGUUUACUUGACAAACAAGUUAAUUUAGUAACUUGAGCAACAAGUAACUGUUUAAAUAAAUUGAAUGAUAGGGUUGGGGAUCGACGGUUCUAGUAGGAAUAUAUGCGACACCAAGAACAUUGCCUCUUCAUCCGAUGGAGCUUUUCGACGGCCGCAAAAUCACUGGUUCUGUAUUUGGCGGGUUCAAGCCCAAAUCUCAGCUACCAAGUUUUGCUCAACAAUGCAUGAAAGGGGUCUGAGUUUUUUUCCUCUAGAUUCUAUACACAAACUUCUUUAACUCGACUUAGUUUUGCGUUUUGGUGGAGAUUGAUUGGAUUUUUUAUUUUGUAGGUUGUGAAAUUGGAACCUUUUAUCACCAAUGAGCUUCCAUUUGAGAAGAUAAACGAUGCGUUUCAGCUGCUUCGCGAUGGAAAAUCUCUUCGUUGUCUUCUCCAAAUCGCUAAGUUUCUCAAGAAAUAAUUCUACACAUUUCCAAAGUUUUAUUACUCUAUUAUUUACCCAGCAAACACUUCUAUUAUAAAUUAUAUGUAUAUCAUCAGUAGUGCGAUGAUCAACCAUUAUUUGUGCUCAGGGAUUGUUUAAGACUCAAAUGAUCUUGUGAUGUCAUAUAAGUUCUUAUUAUUCAGUCGAUUAUGUCAUACGUUGCAACUACAUGUGGAUGUCUCUUUCUAUUGAAAUAGAAAACGCACAAUCAAUAGUCUUAUUUUGUCGUAUAACUGAUUUGUGUCAAAAAUGCAAUUGUUACUUGUGGCUUGUAGUGUGCAUGCUAUAUUGCUAUGUUUUUGAAACCAUUCGAAUAACUACGUAUAUCAAAUAAAUCAGAAAGUGGAUAAUUACGUCAGUGUGAGCAUAGUUGCUUGACAUGCAAACUUCACUCUGCUUCACCAACCCAACCAUUGCAGUUCACUUAUUAACUAUUGCCAAUGUUUAUUUUUCAAAAAAAAAAAACUAUUGCCUAUGUUUAAUUAAUUAAGUUAUUCAUCAUAAAACCUUUUAUUUAAUGGAAUAGUUUACAACUUACUUUUUGCCUCACCACUCACACCAGAUGCAACUAUAACCAUAAGAUCAUCGCAUUCAAAUGUAUCAAUUAACUUGAUUGGUGCGAUUGAUGAUUGUAAUUCUGAUGCUCUCUUUGUAUAAAAAAGAACGAAGCUGAACGAGCAUUUCCGAGGAUUCUUGGGCACGAAGCUGUCGGGUAUAUGCCAAUUCACAUUGGGAUAUAUCUACUAUUUAAACCUACAUGUGACGCUAAUAAAACAUCUUUUUUUCAUCUUCUGGAUAUGAACAGAGUGGUAGAAAGUGUAGGAGAAGGAGUUAAAGAUGUGAAAGAAGGAGACUAUGUGAUUCCGGCAUUCAAUGGAGAAUGUGGUGAAUGCAGAGUUUGUAAGAAAGAGGUAAGUAAUCUAUGUGAGAGAUAUAAAGUGGAUCCAAUGAAAAGACUGAUGGUUAGUGACGGAGGGACAAGAUUCUCAACAACCACAAACAAGGACGGCGGUUCGAGCCAGAGCCAACGCAUUUAUCACUUCCUUAACACCUCCACGUUCACCGAAUACACGGUCUUGGACUCAGCUUGCGUUGUCAAAAUCGAUCCUAAUGCUCCUCUCAAGCAAAUGAGCCUCUUGAGCUGUGGUGUCUCCACGG
rnacentral:lncRNA from 1 species